rnacentral:lncRNA from 1 species
UGGUUAUGGGGGGGGUCCAAGUGGGGGCAGCUCCUCAAGCCCAACACAUGGGGAGGGAGGGGGGGGUGGGGUGGAUUUGGGGGGCAGUUGUGGGUCCGGGGGGGCAGUUGUGGGGCAGUUGUGGGUCCGGGGGGGCAGUUGUGGGUCUGGGGGUUCCCCUGACCCCCCCGUGCCCCCCCCAGAGCCCCCCGUGACCAUCGCCAAGGGGCUGGACGACCAGCAGGUGGUGGUGGGGGAGCGGGUGGUGCUGGAGGCCGAGGUGUCGGAGGAGGGGGCCCAGGUCAUGUGGUGAGUGGGGGUCAUGUGACCACACGCGUGUCCGUCACCUGUCACGUGUCCAUCACGUGUCACGUCUCCAUCCCAUGUCCAUGCCAUGUCCCAUGUCCAUCCCGUGUCACGUGUCCAUCCCAUGUCCUAUGUCCAUCCCAUGUCACGUGUCCAUCCCGUGUCAUGUGUCCAUCCCAUGUCCAUCCCAUGUCACGUGUCCAUCCCAUGUCCAUCCCAUGUCACGUCUGUCCCAUGUCCAUCCCACAUCCCGUGUCCAUCCCAUGUCAUGUGUCUAUCGCAUGUACAUCCUGUGUCCAUCCCAGGUCACUUGUCCAUCCUGUGUCCAUCAUGUGUCCCACGUCCAUCCCGUGUCACGUGUCCAUCCUGUAUCCCGUGUCCAUCCCAUGUCCAUCCUGUGUCCAUCCCACGUCACGUGUCCAUCCCAUGUCACAUGUCCAUUUCAUGUCACAUGUCCAUCCUGUAUCCUGUGUCCAUCCCCUGUCCAUCCCGUGUCCCGUGUCCAUCCCGUGUCCAUCCCACGUCACGUGUCCAUCCCGUGUUCAUCUCCUAUCCUGUGUCACGUGUCCAUCCCACAUCAUGUAUCCAUCCCAUGUCACAUGUCCAUUUCAUGUCACAUGUCCAUCCCGUGUUCCAUGUCCACUCCCUGUCCCAUGUCCAUCCCGUGUCCAUCCCAUGUCAUGUGUCCAUCCUGUAUCCCAUGUCCAUCCCAUGUCCCAAUGUCCAUCCCAUGUCACGUGUCCAUCCCAUGUCAUGUGUCCAUCCCAUAUCCAUCCUGUCUCGUGUCCAU